GGGGUCGUGUGCGAUGGUCGCGGCGGCUGUCAUCUCAUGAGGGCGGUUCGUCGAGGAAAGUCCGAGCUCCACCGGGUAGACUGCCAGGUAACCCCUGGGCGCCGAGAGGCGACGGUAAGGGCCACAGAGAACAGACCGCCCCUUUUGGGGUAAGGGUGAAACGGUGGGGUAAGAGCCCACCGCAUCGCUGGCAACAGCGAUGGCACGGUAACCCCCAGUCGGAGCAAGACCAAGUAAGCGGCGAGGUGUGACCCACACCAUCCAGGGAGCCCUGGGAAGCCGCGGGUAGGUCGCUCGAGGUGGCCGGCGACGGCCAUCCCAGAUAGAUGACCAUCCGUCCGCACGCGGACGAACAGAACUCGGCUUACGACACGACCCCAGCA
rnacentral:RNase_P_RNA from 1 species